rnacentral:rRNA from 1 species
GAUGAACGCUGGCGGCGUGCCUAAUACAUGCAAGUCGAGCGAACGGACGAGAAGCUUGCUUCUCUGAUGUUAGCGGCGGACGGGUGAGUAACACGUGGAUAACCUACCUAUAAGACUGGGAUAACUUCGGGAAACCGGAGCUAAUACCGGAUGAUAUUUUGAACCGCAUGGUUCAAAAGUGAAAGACGGUCUUGCUGUCACUUAUAGAUGGAUCCGCGCUGCAUUAGCUAGUUGGUAAGGUAACGGCUUACCAAGGCAACGAUGCAUAGCCGACCUGAGAGGGUGGUCGGCCACACUGGAACUGAGACACGGUCCAGACUCCUACGGGAGGCAGCAGUAGGGAAUCUGCCGCAAUGGGCGAAAGCCUGACGGAGCAACGCCGCGUGAGUGAUGAAGGUCUUCGGAUCGUAAAACUCUGUUAUUAGGGAAGAACAUAUGUGUAAGUAACUGUGCACAUCUUGACGGUACCUAAUCAGAAAGCCACGGCUAACUACGUG